CUGUCUCUGUGUCUCUCUCUCUGCGCAGUCGAUCGCUCGGUGCGUCUCCUGAAGGAUUGUGGGCCAGCGGCGCUCUCUGUCGAGCUCACCUAUCUGACACCAGAGGGGGGCGGGGCCAGCAGCCUCCUUCUCGCCUUCAUUCAAAUGAUUGACAGCAUGUUGGCCGGUGGGCGGGACUUUGAUCUGGCUCACGCUUACCUGGCGCUUUUCCUGAAGCUCCAUCUCCGCUCGUUAUCGCAGGAUGCCGUUGCCAUGGCUGCGUUGGUCCGCCUCUCCUCCCGGCUGGAGACGGGGUGGGCGGAGCUACGGACAUCAUUCGACCAAUCGCUGUGUCUGCUGUCGUACGCCAAGAGUGCACUGCUGUGACACACUGAAUAUGUAUUUGAUUAAAAGCUGUUUGAUGUUC